UCGCUUCUCGGCCUUUUGGCUAAGAUCAAGUGUAGUAUCUGUUCUUAUCAGUUUAAUAUCUGAUACGUCCUCUAUCCGAGGACAAUAUAUUAAAUGGAUUUUUGGAGCAGGGAGAUGGAAUAGGAGCUUGCUCCGUCCACUCCACGCAUCGACCUGGUAUUGCAGUACCUCCAGGAACGGUGCACCACCUCCGGGGAUACAACGCGUUUGCUAAAAGUAGAAGGGGCGAGAGAGAGAGAGAGAGAGAGAGAGAGAGAGAGAGCAUGGGCGGGACGGCUUGCAAACCAAGCGUCUGUGAUACGCCGUCUUGCCGGCUCAACUGCUCGUUGGAGUACCGUGGGGUUUCUGACCUGCGGGCAGCAAACGGAACUUCUUCCUCUUCGGCCCGCUGAGUAGCUGGCACUUGAAGGCAGGUGCCAACGCACCGGCGACACGCUUCCGUGUUUGCCCAGGAAAAACUGCGGUGCAGGUAAUAUAAGCCAUGUAUCGGGCAGUCCAGCAUCGUAUUCGCCGUUCAUGCUUGAUGCAUCUGUAGGCUCCGUUCUAGGUAUGCACAUCGUUUACGGGAUCAGCCACCGGCAGCUGCCUUGCAACCGUGAUGACAAAUCUCUGCCGGCUCUUUUGGGUCUCAUCCCUGUAUCUAUAAAUUGCAUCCCAACAUAAAGAUCGGAAUGUUCCUUUUGCUGGCCCAAUCUCUCACCCUUUCCAAACUCCAGAAAUCUUGUCUGUCCUCCGCAAAACACCCCUGCUUCUUUCUCUGAAGGCGGUCUUCAGGCCGGGCACACUGGGAGGAUCGCCGGAGCCCGGAAGGCCGCAGCGAGGUGAGGUGAGAUCACACCAUUGCACUGCAGCCCCGGCUGCAGAGCCGGAGCCCCGUCUCAAAACAAACACACACACACACACACACACACACACACACACAAACACACAAAAGAAAGAGCCCAGGCAACCUAGUGAAACCCUGUUCGGCUGGUAUCUGCACCCCAGCUAUUCUAGAGGCUGAGGCAGGAGGAUGGAUGGAGGCUGGGAGGUGGGUGCUGCACUGAGCAGCGACUGCACCGCUGCACUCCAGCCUGGGUGACAGAGCCAGACCCCAUCCCAAAUCAAUAAACAUAAAAAUAAAGGAACCAGUUUGUAGAAAGCGGAGAGGGUCCCAUUGAACUUCAAGCCUUCAGGCUACAGCUGCGGCUGGACAGGUUGGAGCAGCAGGCUGGAGCAGUGGCCAUCUUGGCCGGGAUCAUUGACCCUGAUCUAUCAUCGGGAGGAGGAAGAGCUGAUCUCAUGCAGGGAGGGCAGGUGGACUACGUGUGGACUCUGGUGAUCUGUUUGGGUGCCAGGUGUUGCUCCCAGGGCCACCUGUAACUGUGAAUGUGCGGGAACCCUGACUUGAGAAGGGCGUACACGGCAGCCUCGCCCCUCAGGGAUGAGAGUUUGGUUCACGGUACCCAGGGAAACCACCAGCAUCGGCAGUGGUGAUAGCUGAGGAGGAGGGGGGAUUUGGAGGAGAGACACAGGAUGAGUAGCAGGGGCAGCCCUGUGAUCAACAACUGCUGCAAGAGGGGCUGUUUGUUCGACUCACUAGUCUUCUGCGGCUCUAUGCAGUACUGAAGAGCAGAAGACAGAAGACACAAAGACCACAAAAAUUAGCCGGGCGUGGUGCUGUGCGUCCAUAAUCCCAGCUACUCGGGAGGCUGAGACAGGAGAAUCGCUUGAACCCGGGCGGCGGAAGUUUCAGCGAGCCUAGAUCACGCCAUUCCAGUCCAACCUGAGCAUUCGAGCGAGACUCUUAUCUCGGAAAAUAAAGACAGAAUUAAAGAGCCCGGUGCGGUGGCUUACAUCUGUGAUUCCAGCGCUUUGGGAGGCCCAGGCGGGCGGAUCGCCUGAGGUCAGGAGCUCGAGACCAGCCUGGCCAACGUGGCGAAAGCCCCGGAAAAAUACAAAAAUCAGCCAGGCGUGGUGGCGUACGCCUGUAAUCCCAGUUACCCGGGAGGCUGACGCAGGAGAAUCGCUGGAACCCGGGAGGUAGAGGCUGGACUGAGCUGAGAUCGUGCCACUGCACUCCAGCCUGAGUGACAGAGCAAGACUUUGUCUCAAGAAAACACAAAACAAAACAAAACAAAACAAAAACAAACAAACAGCAACAAAAAACCCGGGCGCGGUGGCUCACGCCUGUAAUCCCAACACUUUGGGAGGCGGCAGCUGGGCAGAUCACCAGAGGUAGGGAGUUGGAGACCAGCCUGACCAACAUGGAGAAAGCCCGUCUGUACUAAAAGUACAAACUUAGCCGGGCGUGGUGGCGCAUGCCUGUAGUCCCAGCUACUCGGGAGGCUGAGGCAGGAGAAUCGCUUGAACCCGGGAGGCGGAGGGUGCGUGAGCCCAGAUCGCGCCAUUGGACUCCAGCCUGGGUAACAAGAGCGGAACCUCCGUCAGAAAAAAGAAAAAAAAAAA
ensembl:lncRNA